GGGUGGUAAAUUCCAUCCAAAGCUAAAUACAGGCGAGAGACCGAUAGCGAACAAGUACAGUGAUGGAAAGAUGAAAAGAACUUUGAAAAGAGAGUGAAAAAGUACGUGAAAUUGUUGAAAGGGAAGGGCAUUUGAUCAGACAUGGUGUUUUGCGCCCCUUGCCUCUCGUGGGCUUGGGACUCUCGCAGCUCACUGGGCCAGCAUCGGUUUUGGCGGCCGGAAAAAACCUAGGGAAUGUGGCUCUGCGCCUCGGUGUAGAGUGUUAUAGCCCUGGGGAAUACGGCCAGCCGGGACCGAGGACUGCGAUACUUGUUAUCUAGGAUGCUGGCAUAAUGGUUAUAUGCCGCCCGUCUUGAAACACGGAC
rnacentral:rRNA from 1 species